UAUCUGGUUGAUCCUGCCAGUAGUCAUAUGCUUGUCUCAAAGAUUAAGCCAUGCAUGUCUAAGUAUAAGCACUUGUACUGUGAAACUGCGAAUGGCUCAUUAAAUCAGUUAUCGUUUAUUUGAUUGUACCUUUACUACUUGGAUAACCGUGGUAAUUCUAGAGCUAAUACAUGCGGAAAGUCCCGACUUCUGGAAGGGAUGUAUUUAUUAGAUUCAAAACCAAUGCGGGUUCUGCCCGGUCAUUUGGUGAUUCAUAGUAACUGUUCGAAUCGCAGGGCCGCGCGCCGGCGAUGUUUCAUUCAAAUUUCUGCCCUAUCAACUGUCGAUGGUAAGGU
rnacentral:ncRNA from 1 species